AAACUGCGAUAAGCAAUGCGAAUUGCAGAAUCCGCGAGUCAUCAGAUUUUCGAACGCAGUCGGCGCCGUGGGUUAAACACUUGCGGCAAGUUUGCUUCAGUCUUAUUGAUUAUUACAAAUCAAAAUGUGAUUGAACCUUCGGGUUCUCUCAUCAAACUUGAAUACGACAUAUUUCAAUCCAACGAAGCAGUCACAGUCUCUGACGGUGAUUUCGGUGGCUCUUGGACUAUGACCAGUAUAGAGACGCUAGUCUUUCAAAAUAAUCUUAAGCUGAAGUCAAGCUGGAUUACCCGCUGAACUUAA
rnacentral:misc_RNA from 1 species